GCCGAUGUGAUGGAAUUGGCAGACGUAGUGGACUCAAGAUCCACCGGUGGCGACACCGUGCCGGUUCGAGUCCGGCCAUCGGCACCA
rnacentral:tRNA from 1 species